AAGGGAGACCUAAUUCGGGUAGAAGACGAAAAAAUAGUAGUCGAAACCAAGAAUCAAUCCCAAAAGGUCGGAACGAGGUAUGUGGCUUUCAAACUAGGUUCUGGGUUCACAAAAGACCUGAAUCAGGAACAAGGGCUAUUAGCUCAGGUGGUUAGAGCGCACCCCUGAUAAGGGUGAGGUCCCUGGUUCGAGUCCAGGAUGGCCCACCUGCACAGGUGGCAAAAACAAGAGAAACGAGGAAUCAGCACCUUAUCUUACUUACGUAGUAAGAGAGAAUGCUGGCUCUGAGUAAAGAGUCCAGAGGAACCUUGAAAACUGCAUAGAGCUAGGUGAAAAAGCCAAAAAAGAAGACCGCAA
rnacentral:tRNA from 1 species